AUUGCUGGGCAUUCGAAUAUGUGGAAAACUGUUAAAGUAGACCCUGUUAAUGAAAAGGACGUGAUAUUCCAUGACUUGAUAGAAGAAUGUAAACGCUCUGUGCCCGGAGCGAGGUUAUCCUACGCCCUUCGCAAUAAACUCGAAAAAUAUUCCCUGGAAGUGAGGAGAGACAUAGUGAAUCGCAUCAAGGUCGGUUGCUCCCCCCUGUUCAUUGCGUGUAAAAAAGGACAGGCCGAGAUAGUGGAGUAUCUCAUAACAGAGUGCUCAGCUGACAUCGAACAGAAAGGGCUCUAUGAAGUGCAAGAAGAUAGAUCGACUCACGUCGUCACGCCACUAUGGUGUGCAGCAGUUUCAGGCAAGCUCCCUGUCGUCGAAAUCCUAUUACGGCACGGAGCAGAUAUUAACGCCGUAUCGGACACUGGCUCUACUCCGGUCCGAUCGGCGUGUUUCAUGACACACUACGACAUUGUUGAACAUUUGGUAAAGCACGGAGCCGACAUCAACAGACCCAACUACAAUGGGGGCACCUGCCUCAUAAAUUCGGUGCAGAGCGCUAGGUUAUGCGAUUUCUUACUGAAGAACAGAGCUGACGUCAACGCUAGGGAUAUACAGAACAAGACGGCUCUGCAUUACGCUAUUCAGGAGCACAGGAUAGAAUCAACGAUGCUUCUGCUAAAAAGCGGAGCGAAUUACAAUGCGAAAUCUAGAUAUGGCGAUGACGCUCUACAAAUGGCCUGUUUGAAAGGUGCUACGCGUAUCACCAAAUACCUCAUGGCCAUCAUCGACUAUCCCCCAGAAAAACUGGCCAAUGCGCAUGAGUUGAUGGGUACGACUUGUCUGGAUGAACACAGUGAAGUCGAGGAAGCUCUCGUGCAUUGGAGAACUGCUCUGGAUAUCAGAAUAAAGCACGGGUUAUUACCCAAGCAGCCAGUAAUGCCACCGAGGGAGUGUUACCGGUUCGAAAAGGAAUUCGAAAGCGAAGCAGAGCUUGAUAUAAUAUCUUCAGACAUGGACAGGGUCCAGAUACAAAGCCUGAUGAUUGUCGAAAGAAUUUUGGGGCCGCAUCAUAAGGAUACCAUUUACAGGUUAAUGUAUCGAGGCGCAUCGUUUGCGGACUUGAUGCGAUACCAGCGUUGCAUAGACCUUUGGAGAAGAGCUCUUGAGAUAAGAAUAGAAAAGGAUUCAAUACUCUACACGGAUACUUGUUUUUCUGCGCAAGCCUUGGUGAGGCUGAUGAUAGAUUAUCACACUAAGUCCGAGCUGCAUAACGAGGACAAUAAUCGUCAAAGAUUCCACGACAUUGUCUACACCUUCAAAAUGAUGACCAACAACAUAAUUGAAAUUCGGCAGCUACUGACAGUGAAGCCAGUUUACAAACGACAAGCCGAUAUUUUCGACAAGAUGUUGAAGUGCAUCGCACAUUUGAUAUACGUCAUGGUAGGGACUGCGACAACGGAUGAAGACAAGGAGUGCCUUUCGAAAUUGGUAACAGAGUUCGUGAGGAAAAACAUCAAGUGUGUCGUCUCGCAAGAUACAAUCUUGCACUUGUGCGUGAACAAGUUGAACACUAUCAGAUCUAGUCAUUUCACCGAUGAGGAACCUAUCAUGAUAUUUCCCGAGGCGAACGUAGUAAAGUGUCUACUAGAAUGUGGGGCAGAAGUCAAUGCCAAAAAUGAGCUAGGCUGUACCCCUUUGCACUUGAGCACGAUAUCUUACAAUUAUUCGGAUUGGUGGUCGAAGGAAUCAAUUAAAGGUAGAAAACUUGGCACCAUGCACUUGUUAUUCUUUCCGAAUUAGGCCAGAAAUCGAUUAUCCCUCUGAAUGGAGUUAUUUCAAAGCUGCUACUGAAGAUGAGGGUCCUUAUUGUUCUGUUAUGCAUAUGUCUAGGGCGGUGAAAUUAGGAAAAAUGCCGUUGGUUAGAAAAAUUGCUCACAAUAGACCCCACCUCCUGGAAACAGAAAACAAAGAAAACAAAACUCCCCUGGUGCAAUCAAUUCAAGCAGGCGACGUCCAGAUGCUA